rnacentral:rRNA from 1 species
UACGAAGGGGGCUAGCGUUGUUCGGAAUUACUGGGCGUAAAGCGCGUGUAGGCGGGUCUUUAAGUCAGGGGUGAAAUGCCAAGGCUCAACCUUGGAACUGCCUUUGAUACUGGAGACCUUGAGUCCGGGAGAGGUGAGUGGAAUUGCGAGUGUAGAGGUGAAAUUCGUAGAUAUUCGCAAGAACACCAGUGGCGAAGGCGGCUCACUGGCCCGGAACUGACGCUGAGACGCGAAAGCGUGGGAGCAAACAGGAUUGAG